ACACGGAUAAGGUAUAUAUUUAUUAAAUAUUGAUAAAAUAAAAUUAAUGAUUUUAUUUUACUUUAAUGUAGAUAUAUGUUUUACAAUAUCAACAAGUAACCGCAUAUACUUUCCUCUGAUGUAGAACAUUAUAAAGUCGUGACUCGUGGUACAGUUUAUUUCUAAAUGGUGCCGUAUGUACACUUUCAAUGCAUCGUAGUUUGACCAAACUUAGACGACGUAAAUUCGGUAGUUAUGGCAUGUAAGACCGACCGAAACAUAUUGCACUGUGGUUUUUUCGGCAAGCGUGUAUAGUUAUGGUAUAUUAUACCUAUUACCAACGACCAGUAUUGUACAGUUUAUUUAUUGUCGACGCGUCUAUUUGAAAUAAAAUCAUAAUUGUGUGUCGUUUGUCGCUUAAAGCACGCGGACUUCAGCGAGAAUCGUUAUUACCCGUCACUCCGCGGUGUCCCUUACACGACUUACAUUAUACAUAUAGGUAUUUAUAUUCGUGAUACCUGCGCGACGAGAGAUUUAUAAUAUGUUGUUGCGAGUGUCAUUCGACAUUAUGUGUAGCAAUAAUAAUGACGAUUAUAGUAUAGUAUAGAUAAUGUACAUAAUAUUAUAUUCGUCUCCUCUUAUUAUUCGGAACACACUGCAGUAUUGUUCGCCCGGUGGUUCAGAGAGGCGGUCGUAUACCGAUCUAUUAUUGUUUGGAAAUAUAUAUUAUUAUAAUAUAUUAUAUCUGGUAGGAUAAAAGACGUCCGUUGAAAUGACGCGCGCCCGGCAGGGUGCAGCAGUAUACGACGCGGCUGACCUUUUCAAAAACGUCUGACAAUGCAGCCUGCGUCGUCGUAUUAUAUUAUGCGUUGUAUAUAAUAUGUAUACGUCGGAGUGAUGUAGUAGUAGUAGAAGUAGUAGUGGUAGUAACUAGUAGUAGUAAUAUGGAGAGUGAUACAACUUGCAAAGCCAAUGCGCAUUUGAGCACGUCGUAUACUCGUAUAAUAGUAUAAUAAUAAACACAAUAUUUCAAACCGUCGGGCGGCGGCGAGGAGAAAGCGAGUGGGAAAAAAAAAAAAACAAAACCGAAUACCCGAAAAAAAAAAGGGGGAUGAAUAAAAUAUGAUCAUUGGCCGCGCGGUAACAAUAAUGACACGUUGCACGCGGCGGAACCAGGUGUGGCCAUGGUCCUGGAGAAUGGGGUUGUUAAGGACUCGGGUGCGGUGGGCGGCGGGGGGGCGAGCAAGUCGGCGGCGGACGCAGUAUCGUCCGGGAGAGGCAGUUGAUGGGAUCUUCGAUACGCCUGCGGGCUCCGGUUGGUGCCCCGCCUCCGUUUGGACGAACAGCACUUUACCGCCUGUCGCCGGUGAGAGGCACCUGUGUGUGCAUGUGUGCGUUCACGUGGAAGAAGAACGAUUUACCUAUAACUACCAUCGUGCCUACGUAAAAAAUUAUGCAGCUGCAACAGGUACAAAGAAAGCCUAUACGCGGAGAGUGAGAGAGAGAGAGGACGAGGGAGACGCGCACCGCGAUGGAGACGGCUACAUACAUUCAGCGACUGACUAUACUUGCAACCAGAUAACUUGGACCAGAAUUUCACUGAAAAUACGCGACUGAAGUCUGAAAUUCUCAAUUGUCGGCCGUCAGUAUUAAAUCGUGUCGAUUUAUCAAGAGUUCUUUUACGAUAGACAGUGGAGAAAAAAGUUGCCGACUACGAUCCGUGACGGACCGCACGUCCUCCGAAUAUCUUGGCACGGCUUUAAUAGACAUUAAUAAUAGUAG